rnacentral:lncRNA from 1 species
CUUAAAUGUAAUAAACACUAACCUUAAACAUGAGGGGUGAUAAGGUUUGCUAUAUGGGAUGUAUAUGUAAAAAUCCCUUUAUUAAACCUAGUAUACUGAAUUGUUUCACUUCGUCUCCUUCAGAGAAACCUCCAACCCUAGCGCCGCCCUUGAGUUCUCCGCCAUUGUAGCUGGUGGUGUCACCUCCAACCAACCCCAAAUUCACACCACAACACCCCAAUAAUCCCCCCUCUCCGAAUCCCUAACUAGUUUCCUCCAAAUCCUUUUAGAAGAUCUCAAAUCUUCGAUCUUAAAACUGACUCCAAACUCUAAAAUCUCAAUACAUCCAAAUCAUCAAAGGUCAAAGAUGAUUUAAGGUCAAAUUUGAUGUCAUUCGUGUGUUCCCGGUGGGAACACCUGAUUAACAUCAAGCUUGGUCAAGAAAUUGAAAGACUUUGAAGAAUUUUGCAUUUUCCGAUGUCCCAAACCGUCUCUUAAGGUAUUUAGUUCUUUUUUUCUUCUGUUUGAUUUUCUUAUUCUUCUCUUAUUCUGAUUCUUUCUUUCAUUUCUUAUUUUUUUCUAUUUCUUCAAAUCACCUUUGUAUGCAUGUCAGUUAUAGAGUUAGUUUGGUUAGCAUUGUUUUUUGGUCUUGAGUUUUCUUUUUGAGUAGUUUAAUUUUCUGUUUCCAUUAUUUCUUUGGGGCUCAGGGCUUCGUGAGUCUUUGUGGCUCCACAAGUUUUUGGUUGUGUGGGUUUGUUCAGUUCAAUUGAACUUGGACCUUGAAAAUCUGAAGCCCAAAAGGGGGAUUUUAUCUGGGUGGCAAGCCCAUUGGUUUGGGGCCAAGCCUUUGGGUCAAUCUGACCCAUUUGGUAGGCUGGGGCAAAAACAGGGGGUGUAAGAGUUAGUUUAGGGAAUUUGGGUAAGGGAAUAUUUAGUAACUGAUUUAGGAAACUUCUAGAAAAGUGGGAGGAGGACUGAUUUAGAAAGCAGAUUUCUAGUUAAGGGUUAAAGAACAAAAAUGAAAGUUUGAAAAGGGUACCUAGCAAAUAACUUGACUCAUUUUUGCUGCCCUAAUUGCUCCUAUAAAGGUCAUUGUUCCUUCACUCUCAAGUAAGAAUUUAGAGAUUAAAAAAAAUACUAAAAAAUUGAAUAACGGCUGAGUUUGAAAGAUUUGAAAGAACACUGCAAUUCUUGCAUCUUCUUUGGUUAAAAAUUGGUUCAAUUCUGCCACAAACUUCAUAGUUGGUCCGAGUAUUUGAGUCUCCAAGGAUUGGUCUUAAUCUGGCUUUUUACUGGUUCGAAGAAGCUGAAUUUUGCUUGGAGUUGAUGGUUUAUUACUGUUACAUUGCUGAUUGGCCUGCUGCUGUUACAUACUCCCUCACUCUAUUUGUUUUCUCUUGGCUUUUUCAGGUAUUUUUUGGAACUAUGGACAUCACUUGAGUGUAAUAUGGAAUUUGGAUUUGGAAAUGUGAUAAAACUGGUGUUGUUUGUUGUUGAAUUUCAUUUCUUCUCCCUUCAAUCUCAUUCAUGGCUGUAAUAUUUAGCUCUAGAGAUAUUUUGAUUAGUCUAUUGAUCAUGAAUGGGAUGUCGUAGCAUUAGAUUAAAGUUUUUAAAGCUGUCUGAUUCUUCUACUUAGUUGUCCGCUUGUUUGAAACUGGCUAUAGGUAAAGGAAAUGCCUUGUUAGGCCUGUGUUGAAUCGUUGGCUUGUGUUUGAAUGUUAUGUUGUUGGACUUGAUGUUUUAAAAUCACGGUUUCUUAAUGUCAAUCCCACCAGGUUCUAUUAAUAUGAGGUUUAUUUGAGGUUCAGAUUCUUAUGUGAUUGUUUUAAGUUAACUUGGGGUUUUAAAAGUUAAAUUUGCAUACUGUAUAGUUUCUAAAGAAUUAGAUUUUAACUGUUUUAAAAUCAUGUCAUUGUUGAAAUCUCACAUAAUUGUCUUUUGAGUUAGUUGGAGACUGAUUUACAUCUGAUUCCAUAUGCAGUGGUGUAUUGUUGAUAGCCAGUUGGGUUCAUGUUAAUACCCUUUCAUUUUCAGAUAUUGCUUGAGUGCCACAGGAUUCGAUCUCGAGUACUGUAUUCACCAACCCCAAGUGCUUGAAAGAUUUGGGCUCAUUUUGGGCCCAAGACCGAAGGCACUUGCAAUGGGAUUGUUUACCUUAUGUUAUUUGGGCUUGUUUUGUUUUGUCGAACUCAGUUUCCUCGGUUAGUUGCUGUUGUUGAAACAAUUUUUAUUUAGAUAAUUGGUUAUUUAAUAUGAUGCCUAUUAGUUGCUAAGUAGGUUCGAGCUUUUAGUUUAAAAAGUAAUUAGAAUUCCUUUAAGCUUUCCUUAAUUAACUAGACUCUUCAAAUGGGUUUGAGGUGUGCUUGUUAAAAUAAUUCAGAGGCGUGC